GACGAACGCUGGCGGCGUGCUUAACACAUGCAAGUCGAACGGAAAGGCCCUGCUUGCAGGGUACUCGAGUGGCGAACGGGUGAGUAACACGUGGGUGAUCUGCCCUGCACUUCGGGAUAAGCCUGGGAAACUGGGUCUAAUACCGGAUAGGAGCCAUUUUUAGUGUGAUGGUUGGAAAGAUUUUUCGGUGUAGGAUGAGCUCGCGGCCUAUCAGCUUGUUGGUGGGGUAAUGGCCUACCAAGGCGGCGACGGGUAGCCGGCCUGAGAGGGUGGACGGCCACCCUGGGACUGAGGUGCGGCCCAGACUGCGAAGGGUGGCAGCAGUGGGGAAUACUGCACAAUGGGUGCCAGCCGGGUGCAGCGAGGCCGCGGAGGGGAUGACGGCCUUCGGGUUGUGAACUCCUUUCGCUAGGGACGAAGCCUUUUGUGACGGUACCUAGAUAAGAAGCACCGGCUAACUACGUG
rnacentral:rRNA from 1 species